GUGGGGAAUAUUGGACAAUGGGCGAAAGCCUGAUCCAGCCAUGCCGCGUGUGUGAAGAAGGUCUUCGGAUUGUAAAGCACUUUAAGUUGGGAGGAAGGGCAGUAAGUUAAUACCUUGCUGUUUUGACGUUACCGACAGAAUAAGCACCGGCUAACUUCGUGCCAGCAGCCGCGGUAAGACAGAGGAUGCAAGCGUUAUCCGGAAUGAUUGGGCGUAAAGCGUCUGUAGGUUGUUUAAAAAGUAUUCUGUCAAAGAUUAGGUCUUAACACUAGAUAGGGAGAAUAAAGGUUUAAGCUAGAGUUUGGUAGAGGCGGAGGGAAUUCCCGGUGGAGCGGUGAAAUGCGUAGAUAUCGGGAGGAACACCAAAGGCGAAGGCACGCUGCUGGGCCAAUACUAACACUGAGAGACGAAAGCGAGGGGAGCAAAUGGGAUUAGAAACCCGGGUAGUCC
rnacentral:rRNA from 1 species